GACGAACGCUGGCGGCGUGCUUAACACAUGCAAGUCGAACGGAAAGGCCCUGCUUUUGUGGGGUGCUCGAGUGGCGAACGGGUGAGUAACACGUGAGUAACCUGCCCUUGACUUUGGGAUAACUUCAGGAAACUGGGGCUCAUACCGGAUAGGAGCUCCUGCUGCAUGGUGGGGGUUGGAAAGUUUCGGCGGUUGGGGAUGGACUCGCGGCUUAUCAGCUUGUUGGUGGGGUAGUGGCUUACCAAGGCUUUGACGGGUAGCCGGCCUGAGAGGGUGACCGGCCACAUUGGGACUGAGAGACGGCCCAGACUCCUACGGGAGGCAGCAGUGGGGAAUAUUGCACAAUGGGCGGAAGCCUGAUGCAGCAACGCCGCGUGCGGGAUGACGGCCUUCGGGUGGUAAACCGCUGUCGCCGGUGACGAAGCGUGAGUGACGGUAAUGGGUAAAGAAGCACCGGCUAACUACGUG
rnacentral:rRNA from 1 species